rnacentral:lncRNA from 1 species
AUGCCAUCCUCCACAUCUCAGGUUAAACAGCCACUUUGCCUGACGCGAUUUGCUGCCACGUGCUCCUGUACUUACUGUUUCGUAGUAUUCAGCAUGCAGUUUCUUGGUGUGGCUCGUCACCCCUCCUCCGACUGGCCCUUCAUCUCUCUUGCUCUCCCUUGGGCCACUGGAUGUCAGCGAGAAGAGUCUAAUGAAGACUCCUCUUUUGACAAUGCGAGUCCCUGUGGGUAUCUGGCAGGUAAAGAGGAGGUCAUGGAAGCAGCAGCAUUGCUGUUUAGUCAAUAUUUCCUUUUGAAGGUGUGAAAGCCCCCGCUCACCAGCCUGCCUUCGCUUGACAAAUGAUGAAGAUAAUGAAAGUGAAGGUGCAGAGCGGAACGGCCAAGACAGUCUGGGCACGUCUCUCAUCACCACCUGUUUGGUGAGCUUGUGUUUAUUCCCCGCCUUUGAAGGGCUGGCAGGCUGUGUGAACGUGAACUGGGCCUGGGCCUGCGAACACCCAGAUCCCGGAGCAAAUCGAGGUGGGAAGACAGAUAAAGGAAAUGCUUUCAAACAAUAUUGCUUUCUCUAAUUAGUGCAGACAGAGAGCCCCCCGAGGAGUUUCAGGUGACCUCAGCCUUGCGAGGCGCAGGUAUUUCUCAGAACCGGCGGGACCGGAAACCUUUUCACUUUGUACAGUCUGGUCUGGGAAUCUUGAAAGAAUCCGUUUUCUUUCGACCCACAAUGCUUCUGGGUGUGUAUGUGGUGGUUUGGGGGUGGGGUGGAAGAUUCUAUGAGAUGUUCAUUCUCACUGUUGUUUUGGUUUUGAUCUAUUCCAUGCAAGAGAAGUCUGCAUUCCUAGGUCCUUCUGUUUGAGACUCUACUGAGAGGCUUCAGGCUGCACUGUGCACAACCUCUUACGGUCAGGCCCUGCAAGCUUAUGCUGCUUCACCUUCCCUUUGCAUACCGUGGAGGAAAAAUCAUAAUGCUCACUGUGGGCCAAAGCCUUUGUUAUGCUCAGGGCUUCGGAAGAUUGGAUUACUACAACACUACGGAAGAGAAAACUGAGGUUCACAGAGGCUAGCAACUCUCCAAGGCCCCACAGCAGAUAUCUCAUCUAGUCGGAACUUGCUCCUAGGCCUGUCUGGCUCUCAGCUGCCACACCACGCUGCCUCCCUUGAGGAAAGGAUGGUUGAUGUGGGAUAUGUUGGAACAAUGCAGCCUCCUGAAAUCAGCUUUGCCUUUAAAGACAGAAGUGACAGGGGCCAAAGAGUGCACAGGACUGGCUGGACAGGGUUAGGAGUCACAUGUGUCAGGUCCUAGUUGGACUGGACCACUCCCUGACCACAAGAGCUCUAGACAACCACUGGAACUUUCUGAGCUCACGUCCUCAUCUGGAAAUGGAGCAAACACCCUCUGCCCUUUCCACUUUACAGGAUGAUUCUGAAGGAGGUUUGUGGACUGAAAAGUACUUUAUGACUGUAAGGGCUUCCUGGAUGAGACAUUUUCAAAAAAGAGCUGUGAUUACAGGAGUAACGUAGGCAUAUUUUGUUUUCUUAUGAUAGGUCCCUGAUGUGUUUUUAGAUAUGUUAAACUUUCACAGAGUCUCAUCUUCAAAAACACAGUCCUGUAAGAUCCUAGGCUUUUUUAUGUCUGAGUUAUAACGAAUAAAUGAACACCAAUCCUUGUAGCGGGCA